GAUGAACGCUGGCGGCGUGCCUAACACAUGCAAGUCGAACGGAGUCCAGCCUUUAAGACCCUCGGGUCAAAGAGGGGAAGACUGAGUGGCGGACGGGUGAGUAACACGUGGGCAACCUGGCUCAUAGAGGGGGAUAACAGAGAGAAAUUUCUGCUAAUACCGCAUAAGCACACACUGCCGCAUGGCAGAGGGUGAAAAGAGAAUCGCUAUGAGAUGGACCCGCGUCUGAUUAGCCAGUUGGCAGGGUAAGAGCCUACCAAAGCGACGAUCAGUAGCCGAUCUGAGAGGAUGAACGGCCACAUUGGGACUGAGACACGGCCCAAACUCCUACGGGAGGCAGCAGUGGGGGAUAUUGCACAAUGGGGGGAACCCUGAUGCAGCGACGCCGCGUGAGUGAAGAAGUAUUUCGGUAUGUAAAGCUCUAUCAGCAGGGAAGAUAAUGACAGUACCUGAAUAAGAAGCCCCGGCUAACUACGUG
rnacentral:rRNA from 1 species